CGGGCAGAAACAUUCGGGUGAGUAGAGCGGCGGACGGGUGAGUAACGCGUGGGAAUCUAUCCAGUAGCGGGGGAUAACUUGUGGAAACGCAAGCUAAUACCGCAUACGCCCUACGGGGGAAAGGAGGGGAUCUUCGGACCUUUCACUAUUGGAGGAGCCCGCGUCAGAUUAGCUAGUUGGUGGGGUAAUGGCCUACCAAGGCGACGAUCUGUAGCUGGUCUGAGAGGAUGAUCAGCCACACUGGAACUGAGACACGGUCCAGACUCCUACGGGAGGCAGCAGUGGGGAAUAUUGCACAAUGGAGGAAACUCUGAUGCAGCCAUGCCGCGUGUGUGAAGAAGGCCCUAGGGUUGUAAAGCACUUUCAGCGAGGAGGAAGGGUUAGUAGUUAAUACCUGCUAGCUGUGACGUUACUCGCAGAAGAAGCACCGGCAAACUCCGUGCCAGCAGCCGCGGUAAUACGGAGGGUGCGAGCGUUAAUCGGAAUUACUGGGCGUAAAGCGCGCGUAGGUGGUUUGUUAAGCCAGAUGUGAAAGCCCCGGGCUCAACCUGGGAACUGCAUUUGGAACUGGCAGACUAGAAUACAGUAGAGGGUAGUGGAAUUUCCUGUGUAGCGGUGAAAUGCGUAGAUAUGGGAAGGAACACCAGUG
rnacentral:rRNA from 1 species